GACGAACGCUGGCGGCGUGCUUAGCACAUGCAAGUCGAACGGAAAGGCCCUGCUUUUGUGGGGUGCUCGAGUGGCGAACGGGUGAGUAACACGUGAGUAACCUGCCCUUGACUUUGGGAUAACUUCAGGAAACUGGGGCUAAUACCGGAUAGGAGCUCCUGCUGCAUGGUGGGGAUUGGAAAGUUUCGGCGGUUGGGGAUGGACUCGCGGCUUAUCAGCUUGUUGGUGGGGUAGUGGCUUACCAAGGCUUUGACGGGUAGCCGGCCUGAGAGGGUGACCGGCCACAUUGGGACUGAGAUACGGCCCAGACUCCUACGGGAGGCAGCAGUGGGGAAUAUUGCACAAUGGGCGGAAGCCUGAUGCAGCAACGCCGCGUGCGGGAUGACGGCCUUCGGGUUGUAAACCGCUUUCGCCUGUGACGAAGCGUGAGUGACGGUAAUGGGUAAAGAAGCACCGGCUAACUACGUG
rnacentral:rRNA from 1 species